AGAAUCAACGCUGGCGGCGUGCCUAACACAUGCAAGUCGCACGAGAAAGGGGACUUCGGUCCCUGAGUACAGUGGCGCACGGGUGAGUAACACGUGAAUCAUCUACCUCCGAGUGGGGAAUAACCUAGAGAAAUCUGGGCUAAUACCGCAUAACACUUACGAGUCAAAGCAGCAAUGCGCUUGGAGAGGAGUUCGCGGCAGAUUAGUUAGUUGGCGGGGUAAUGGCCCACCAAGACGAUGAUCUGUAUCC
rnacentral:rRNA from 1 species